UACGGGGGGGGCAAGCGUUGUUCGGAAUUACUGGGCGUAAAGGGCUCGUAGGUGGCCAAUUAAGUCAGGCGUGAAAUCCCCAGGCUCAACUUGGGAACUGCGUCUGAUACUGGUUGGCUUGAAUUCGGGAGAGGGAUGCAGAAUUCCAGGUGUAGCGGUGAAAUGCGUAGAUAUCGGGAAGAACAUCAGUGGCGAAGGCGGCGACCUGGGCCAAUACUGACGCUGAGGUGCGAAAGCGUGGGGAGCAAACAGG
rnacentral:rRNA from 1 species